UGAGUACGAGACGCUAAGGCGUCGAAGUAGUGUAUGUCAUACUUCCAAGAAAAGCUUGCACUGUCAUUCAUAAAAAAUGCCUGUACCAUAACCGACACAGGUGGGUAGGUAGAGUAUACUAAGGGGCGCGAGAUAACUCUCUCUAAGGAGCUCGGCAAAAUAACUCCGUAACUUCGGGAGAAGGAGUGCCUUAUUUAUAUAAGGUUGCAAUAACAAGAUCUAAGCAACUGUUUACCAAAAACACAGGUCUCCGCUAAGUCGUAAGACGAUGUAUGGGGGCUGACGCCUGCCCAGUGCCAGAAGGUUAAAGAAGUUGGUUAGCAAUAGCGAAGCUGAUAACUGAAGCCCUGGUGAACGGCGGCCGUAACUAUAACGGUCCUAAGGUAGCGAAAUUCCUUGUCGGGUAAGUUCCGACCCGCACGAAAGGCGUAAUGAUUUGGAUACUGUCUCGGAGAGGGACUCGGUGAAAUAGACUUGUCUGUGAAGAUGCGGACUACCUGCACCUGGACAGAAAGACCCUAUGAAGCUUUACUGUAACUUGAAAUUGAAAUUGGACUUUAUUCGCGCAGUAUAGGUGGGAGGCGUUGAAAAUAAUCUUGCGGGACUAUUGGAGCCAUCAGUGAGAUACCACUCUUAUAAUGUUAGAUUUCUAACUUUGAAUCAUUAUCUGGUCAAAGAACAGUUUCAGGCGGGCAGUUUGACUGGGGCGGUCGCCUCCCAAACGGUAACGGAGGCGUACAAAGGUUUCCUCUGAACGGGUAGAAAUCGUAUCUAGAGUAUAAAGGCAAAAGGAAGCUUGACUGUGAGACCUACAAGUCGAGCAGGGACGAAAGUCGGUCUUAGUGAUCUGACGGUACUGAGUGGAAAGGCCGUCACUCAACGGAUAAAAGUUACUCUAAGGAUAACAGGCUGAUCUCCCCCAAGAGUUCACAUCGACGGGGAGGUUUGGCACCUCGAUGUCGGCUCAUCGCAUCCUGGGGCGGUAGUACGUCCCAAGGGUUGGGCUGUUCGCCCAUGAAAGCGGUACGCGAGCUGGGUUCAGAACGUCGUGAGACAGUUCGGUCCAUAUCCGGUGUAGGCGUUAGAAUAUUGAGAGGAGCCUUCUUUAGUACGAGAGGACCGAGAAGGACAUACCUCUGGUGUACCAGUUAUCGUGCCAACGGUAAACGCUGGGUAGCUAUGUAUGGAGUGGAUAACCGCUGAAAGCAUCUAAGUGGGAAGCCCACCUCAAGAUGAGUAUUCCC
rnacentral:rRNA from 1 species